AUUGAACGCUGGCGGCAGGCCUAACACAUGCCAGUCGAGCGGAUGAAGGGAGCUUGCUCCUGGAUUCAGCGGCGGACGGGUGAGUAAUGCCUAGGAAUCUGCCUGGUAGUGGGGGAUAACGUCCGGAAACGGGCGCUAAUACCGCAUACGUCCUGAGGGAGAAAGUGGGGGAUCUUCGGACCUCACGCUAUCAGAUGAGCCUAGGUCGGAUUAGCUAGUUGGUGGGGUAAAGGCCUACCAAGGCGACGAUCCGUAACUGGUCUGAGAGGAUGAUCAGUCACACUGGAACUGAGACACGGUCCAGACUCCUACGGGAGGCAGCAGUGGGGAAUAUUGGACAAUGGGCGAAAGCCUGAUCCAGCCAUGCCGCGUGUGUGAAGAAGGUCUCCGGAUUGUAAAGCACUUUAAGUUGGGAGGAAGGGCAGUAAGUUAAUACCUUGCUGUUUUGACGUUACCAACAGAAUAAGCACCGGCUAACUUCGUG
rnacentral:rRNA from 1 species